rnacentral:rRNA from 1 species
UACGUAGGGGGCAAGCGUUGUUCGGAAUUACUGGGCGUAAAGGGCUCGUAGGCGGCCAACUAAGUCGGACGUGAAAUCCCUCGGCUCAACCGGGGAACUGCGUCCGAUACUGGUUGGCUUGAAUUCGGGAGAGGGAUGCGGAAUUCCAGGUGUAGCGGUGAAAUGCGUAGAUAUCUGGAGGAACACCGGUGGCGAAGGCGGCAUCCUGGACCGAGAUUGACGCUGAUGCGCGAAAGCCAGGGGAGCAAACGGG